rnacentral:lncRNA from 1 species
CUCGGGGAUGAGCUGUGAUUGCUGAGAAGACGGAAACUCGACGUGAAGCGUGCAUUCUUCGAGAAGUUGGGGAUUCGGGACCGAUUCGUCCAAACGCCCGCCGUCUUGGUGGAGACGUCUGUUCUUCAGCGGACCUUUCUGCGUCUGCUGAAAGACUUUACUAUACAAACAGAUGAGUUCCAUGCAAACCACAUGCCCCAUACUACACGGGUCAUCGAUUGACCCGAAUUUACGCGGGACCAGCUGUACGGGGAGAACGGGGUGACGUUUACCACGCAAGUAGAAAAUCUACAGAUAUAUGUUGUGUAUGCAAGUUUUGUACAGGCACAUGCAUGUGGAAAGCAAACCAUCCGCCUAUAGAUACUCAUGAAAAUGGUGAUAACGGCGGCGGAGUGCUGGUCGUUUUCAUGCCAUAGACAAGUAGACCGCCUUCUUUGCUCUGUAUGGAAAAGUGCUGUUCAGCUGACGACUGGCGUUUGGAACUGUCGAAUUUUUUCUGGGCCGUCUUGGGAUGGCCCAGGCGCAGGAAUUACAGAAGACUCUCAGCAACCUUCAGAAAGAGAGGAACGCGGGAAAGGUGUUUCGUACGAGGCACAGACAUCCGGGGCAAGUUCUGCCCUGGUGUGAAAUUCCGCUCAGACAGAUCCACAAACCGGGGGAAAGAUUCGAAUUAAGUGGACAGAGAUAGCUGAACACUCUGGUCUCUGGUACGUCUUGGUAGACUGGACUCUUUAAGGCAACAGUCACAGCGAACAUUAUGAAUCCUUUCUUUGAAGCUUGACGGGAGCAUGGACGAAUUCCCCAAAACGAAUGUUCCGAUAUGCACAUGUAUCUCAAGAUUAUUCCUUCACGGUCGGGAUAAGUCAGAUGGGCAAUUGGAGGUUUGGAAGAAGAACAGCCUCGGAAAAGGAUGCUUCGGACCCCCGCUCCCAGUGCAUUCUUACGCUGACCUCGAACAGGCGGCACUCGUUCAUUGCUCGGUAGACGGAUCAAAGAAAAUAUCUUUGCCAGAGAACGCAAGUGUUACCUCACUGUCGACGUGUGCCGAGAGGAAAUGACCAAAAAAAAGGUCGUGUGUUUGCAAUCGGACAAGGUUGGGUUAUCAGUUGAAGCCUCCAUAAAUAUGCACCCCGCGCGAUACUGCACGAUGUUGUGAAUCAUCCACCUCGGUGAACACCCAAAACCGGCGCGCCGUUGAGUAGUGCGCAACUCAAAUCAGACCAGAUAACGCCCGAGAAAGAGCUAAGGACCGCAAGCGCUUGAGAAUUCGAAACUCAAGACAAGCUUCCUUUGUUGUCCGGUUUCCACGUUCCACAUGCACAGGGUCAAGGGUUGGGAUUUGUGAAGGAGUUCCGUGCCCCAGAAACUUUCCAACAUAUGUCUGAACGCAACUCGUACACAAUUUUUUUGAUGUGUGUGUACCUGGUCAAUAAGUCAAAACGCGUAGCUCUCAACCGUUUCGUUUGAGUGAAACUGUCUCGAGAAGAAAUGUGAUAUCAGGGAACUCCACACCUGUUUUGAUCCCACAUCUAUGUUCCUGGAGCAUAGACGUCCUCAUAGGUGCUAACACCCUUUGGAGAGGCUGAAAUCUAGGUAGCAUUCCGUGUCAUACUUGCACAGACUGUACAAACUCCUG